UACGGAGGGUGCAAGCGUUAUCCGGAUUUACUGGGUUUAAAGGGUCCGUAGGCGGUUUGGUAAGUCAGUGGUGAAAGCCCAUCGCUCAACGGUGGAACGGCCAUUGAUACUGCCAGACUUGAAUUAUUGGGAAGUAACUAGAAUAUGUAGUGUAGCGGUGAAAUGCUUAGAGAUUACAUGGAAUACCAAUUGCGAAGGCAGGUUACUACCGAUGGAUUGACGCUGAUGGACGAAAGCGUGGGUAGCGAACAGG
rnacentral:rRNA from 1 species